GGGCCAGUGCCCUUCUUCCUCAUCAUCUUUACCUGUCCCCCAUUUGGGGAGCCAGACAUUAAAGACUGGAACAUUCAAAACCAGUUGCAUUUAUGGGGAAAGUUAGAAAGUGACCAUGUAUUCUCAGGGAGAGGCAGUAUGGUGGUGCCUCAAAAAGUUAACAAUAGAAUUACAUCUGGUUCAAAAUCCCACUUCUGGGUAUAUACCCAAAAGAAUUGAAAUCAGGUUCUCGAAGAGAUAUUUGCACACUCAUGUUCACAGCAGCAUUAUUCACGAUGGCGAAAGUGUGGAAGCAGCCCAAGUGUCCAUCAAGAGUUGAAAGGAUGAGCAAGAUGUGUACAGACAUACAAUGGAAUUUUAUUCAGCUUUAAAAAGAGAGUCUCCAUCAAGUGCAACAUGAUGUUUCCAAUGAAUGUCCUCAAGGCAAUAGAAGUAAAAAUUCACCCUGUGUUGCAGCAAAUGCUCACCCUGAAAUUGAACAGAAGCGAUCAAUUCAAGUCCAAACAAUAACAUUUAAACAAAUAAUAAGAAAGACUCCAGAUCAGGGGAUGAUAUAAUUAAAAGGCAGCCUCUUGAGAACUGAAAAGGUUUGGGGUUUAAAAAAAUCCAAUUUCAAUAAAAAGAAACCUGUUGAAAAA